rnacentral:rRNA from 1 species
AUGGAGCCAUCGCUGCUGCAGUAUAAGGUGCUCAUUCACCUGGAUGAGGUUCGUGAUUACAGAGGUGUGGACGAGCCAUUGUUCUUGAGGGAGUCCUCGGACAGCGGGGAGAGUGGCUUGCCCGAGCGCGACGAUGACAUGGACAGAGGCGGUGGCAACAUUGCUCUCUCCAGACCGGGCUGGCAAUUUGGUGUUCGCGAUGCAUGCGGCGCGCCGGUUGGGCAUCGUCGGGGCGCCCUCGCCGCCGGUGGGGAGCCCAGGUCCGCUGGUGCGGUGGCCUCGGACGAACAGGAUUGGCGCCUUCCCUGCAUGCAGAUGGCGACAGCGGUGGCCCCAGGCUCACGUCGUGGAUCAAUUCGGGAUAGGAUCGUGACAAGACCAUCAGCUUUUGACCGCCUGACCUUCCAGAUGGCGAGUCAAGACAGGCCGGAGAAUCCUGAGGCGCCCCCCGCCGUGGGGUCGACACAUUUGGAGGUUGAGCAUGCUGGUGUGAUUCAAAAUGAGGAGGCGGGGCAGCUGUCGAGCCAGGACAGGGCUGUGAAUCCUGAGGCUUCCCCUACGAUGGGCUGA